rnacentral:misc_RNA from 1 species
CUGAAAACAUAUUGUUCUCAAUGCUCCUGAAUAAAUUCUCCCUCAAGAUUAUCACAGGCUAAUCAAAUAGAGUAAACAAAUUUACACUAAAAAAUGAUAAAAGAGAAAUGGAUAGAGCUAUCAUACAAGGCUUUAAGUGUAAUAAUGUUUCCUAGAUAGCUUGGGAUUUGUCCUGUCAAGCGGUUAACAGAAAGGGACCACUAAGGUAGUUACGAGUGAGAUCAAGUUUCUUGAGGUAAGGUAAUUUUACAAUGGCACGAGGCAGCACACCAGCAAUAUCUUGCGCUUUGAGAAGUAUGCUUUCAACAUGGCAUUCACCUCCUAUAUAGGAACAAUUGCAAAUUACACUAUUGCUGUAAUAAGGCAUAUCGUUCGAUUGUGGUGUCACCCAAUUUGUGUCAUUACUACAAGGAUCUACUUUAAAGUUCCAA